rnacentral:rRNA from 1 species
CUGGCGCGUGCUUAAACAUGCAAGUCGAACGGNUUUCCUUGGCAGCUUGCUGCCGGGGUGAGAGUGGCGAACGGGUGAGUAAUGCGUGACCGACCUGCCCCAUGCACCGGAAUAGCUCCUGGAAACGGGUGGUAAUGCCGGAUGUUCCACAUGAGCGCAUGCGAGUGUGGGAAAGGCUUUUGCGGCAUGGGAUGGGGUCGCGUCCUAUCAGCUUGUUGGUGGGGUAACGGCCUACCAAGGCGUUGACGGGUAGCCGGCCUGAGAGGGCGACCGGCCACAUUGGGACUGAGAUACGGCCCAGACUCCUACGGGAGGCAGCAGUGGGGAAUAUUGCACAAUGGGCGCAAGCCUGAUGCAGCGACGCCGCGUGCGGGAUGGAGGCCUUCGGGUUGUAAACCGCUUUUGUUCAAUGGCAAGGCACGGUUUCGGCCGUGUUGAGUGGAUUGUUCGAAUAAGCACCGGCUAACUACGUGCCAGCAGCCGCGNU